rnacentral:rRNA from 1 species
CCCGUAGAUGUCCUGGGCCGCACGCGCGUUACACUGAUGCAUUCAACGAGCUUAUAACCUUGGCCGAGAGGCCUGGGCAAUCUUGUUAACGUGCAUCGUGAUAGGGAUAGAUUAUUGAAAUUAUUAAUCUUGAACGAGGAAUUCCUAGUAAACGCAGAUCAUCAAUCUGCAUUGAUUACGUCCCUGCCCUUUGUACACACCGCCCGUCGCACCUACCGAUUGGAUGGUCCGGUGAAGCCUCGGGAUUGUGGUUCUUGCCGCUUUAUUGUGGCGUGACCGCGAGAACUUGUCUAAACCUUAUCAUCUAGAGGAAGGUGAAGUCGUAACA